UAUUGUUAUUGUGAAAUAUCUAGGCGUAGGCGGUAAGUCAGGUGUCAGGUUUACUUCUGCCUUAUGACGUGAAAACUCCCGCGACUAUGUCAUUUAAAUAACACAUUCCCACAAAUUUAUGACUGCAAUAAAAUUUUUUGUGAGUUCCUUCUUUAUACAUUUUUCAACAAAAUAAAGUGAUUAUUUUCUGUGAAUUUUAUUUGCUUAAAAUAAAGUUUUAAAUACACACAGUGACAAUCAAAAUGAGCCGCUUUAAUGUGGGAAAAAAGCUAUCUUUGAUUUUUUUCGAACUGACUUUGCUGAAAACAUUUUCUUGUGAUUUUGAAGGUACUGUGAAUCAAGUUUGGAAGUCUUUUAGUGAUUGCACGGAUAACAAAGCAAACAUGUUCUGGCCAUGUUUAGAGAAUGAGUCAAUAUCGAUUCUUUAUAAAGUUGAAGAAAGUGCAAAGAAUAUUCCGAUCCUAGGUAACUCAGUGGAGCUGAUUAGAGAAAAUUCUAAUGAGCAAAAGGACUACAAUACGUUUGCAAUUACACCCAGAUUAUUCAAAAAUCGCGAAAGAAAACUUUCACUUCGAUACAGAGAUUUAUCAUUCACAAGGAUACUCUUGGAUUUUUUCAAGAAUCGAUCGUUGCAACUUAGAAUUCCUAUUUUGUGGUCUGAAACUCUCUGGAACUCAGCAGUUGAAGGCAGAGGCAAGAAAGACAAGGGCCACUCUAUGCUGGCGGGUUGUUUACUGGCUGGACUUAUGAUGACGAUCGCCUCGUUGGCCAUGCUUUCGGGGAAAGCUUUGAUGACGAGCUUAAUCGCCCUUACACUGGCCGCGCUUUCGAACCGAAAAGGAGGCUCGGCCGCCCUCCAUGGCGCCACCACCUACGAAGUCAUCAACGUCCCAGCACAUCAUCAUUGAGCACCUGGUUACACUUAGGGCUGAAUUCAUGUUCAUUAAUUUAACAGUUCCUUUCAGUGGGAGGCUUAAUAUCGACAGUGCAACUACCAGACCACGUACGUCGGUUAUUUGCAACGUUGCAGACUUCUUGUCCUAUUUUAUUUUUUAAAUAAAAAACUACUCAACAACAAUCCCUGAAAACGUCCAUGACAUGUCUUCUCUGUUCGAAGAAAACUAUUUGAAACUUCAAGAAAUGAAAUUGAUUUGUUCUUCUUCAAAAAAAUAAAAUGGGAGCUGUGAUUUUUAAACAUACCAAACAAAGAUACGUGGUCUGGUAGUUUCACCGUCGAUAUGGUUUACAUUGAGAUUACGGGAGAUUUUAGGAGAUCAUUAAUGUAGCACCAUCAAAAGGACGAUUUUUACAAAUUUCGAGUAAAAUCCAACGGAAUAACUUUAAAAAUAGAUCUCUGCAAAGGGUGCUAAGGAUUUUCCACUGCAAAAUAUUACACUGGAAGAAAAUAUGUUAUGACAUCGACAAGCUUUAAGGUAGGUGUGAACCUAACAAGAUUUUCAAAACAUGGAGGAUUUUUUCGUGUGUAUAUUUAUUUUAUAGAGGAAAAUCAUUGUAAACUCCUUCGAGUGUUUCAGUCUAAACUUAUGUCAUUGAAUUUUACUCGAGAUUCUUUAAAAUUAUCCUUCCUACGAUACUAUGUUAAGGACUUCCUGAUACCUCUCUUAAUCACAAGUUAAAACAUAAUGAGACUCCCUAUGGAAAAAAGCUGUAUAAGGAAACGACGACAUUCCUAGCUUAUACACAAACGCAAGUAAUUCAUUCAUACUUAUCACAAUAAUGCAACUGUUCGGAUAAAAGUAACACACCUUUUUUUUCUUUCGCAUAAUGUUUGUACAUAUCACGCAAAUGUCGCAAAAUUGAGACUUUUUAACUUUUGCACUUUUAUGUAUAAUAGUUCUACACUGGCAUUCUCCGCUGCAAGGUUUACUUACAGUGCGGGUCUUUUUUUUUACAAUUUUGUAAAAUUUGUGCACACUUGGUACCGCGUAACUUUGAAGGCUUGAUUGCAAUUGUUAACUUAUACUGAAAAUUUUACAAAGUUUGCGAGCUGUCUCCGACAUUUGAUCAAUUUUGUGAGACUUAAGAAAACAUUUUAAGGGGUUUGUUUGAGCUAAGAAACAACAUCAAUCAUGUCAACAACUAUUUCCGUAAUGAAAUGUAAAUAAUACAUUUUGAAAGAUUUCACAAAUUGUUUUUAAUAAAAUAUUAUCUGAUGAUGCAUUAUAAAAUUUUAUUUACAGCCUUACCUCUAUCAAAAACAAUUGGACAUCAAGGUAUCAAGGAGUUUUUCAUAAAAAUAAUCACGUUAUAGUUUCAGUUAUCAAUCUCUAUUAUGAUUGUGGACCCUGAUACCCAUACGAGUAAAUGCAUGACAGGGUUCAUGUUGCAAUAGAGAUAAUUCGUUUUGAUUGCAACACGUCCUGGAUGUAUUAAAAUCAUUUGAAACCGUCUUAACUGUGACCUGAGCCUUAUACUAUUAAAAAUACACCGUUGUAGAGUUCAUAUCUCAAUAAAGAUCAUUCUUUUCUAUUUGAAUACAUCCAACUUUGAUUCUACUUUUAAGGCAUUUCUAGUUAUGUUUCAACUCAAUUGACUCUAAAAUACCUUCACUGCCAAAAUUUAAAACUGCCUAGUGCGACACACAAAAAGAAGAAGAAAGACAACUAUUUUGGAAUUUCAUUGGACUCCAUCUACAAGACAAUUGAUUUUAGAGCUGACUCCAGAAAAGAACAUUUUUCAAAGUGGGGAGCACACGGGCAUCUGUUUCAAAAAUUAUCAGUACGUUUAAAAAUUGAAAAUUAAAUUUAAACUUAAAAUUUGCACGGUUCAAAUUAGCUGGACUCGGAAUCAAAUAUCAUGACACAUAGUCGGAUUCCAUGUUGACUGAGUCAUUGUAAACGUAAGAUUUAUAGGCAGAGUAAGGACCGGUAUCCGAGUGAGGGCUGACGAUCUUGGGCAGAUGUGCGGAUUCGAGGAUCUCCGGUGGUAUCGUCGAGAGCGGCAAACUUCGUCCGUGAUGUCCGUGACCACCCCCUCCUGCAGGGACGUUGAUUACCUUGUAAACAUACACGAGGCAAAACGCUCAAUGAAUACAAAUAUGAUAAAAUGAUGAUCGAGAGCAUAUGUAUAUCGAAGUUGAAACUGCAGAAAUACGUAUCUCGGUUGCGGUUUUUUGAAAGCUCCGCUCCUAUUUUAUUUUUUAAAAGAGACCAAAACAACAUCAUAGCUUGAAAUUUUCACAGAAUAUUCUUUAUAAAGAGAAGAAAAAUCACUGAAAUUUUCAAAAAAAUGACGUUCUGUAGCUUUCCAUGUCGCAAGUAAAGUGCGAGCAGGUACAAUAUACGAUGGUAAUAGGCGCAGGAUG
rnacentral:lncRNA from 1 species